GUCACGUCAGGGAAUGUCACUCGUCUAUGUGAAUCUGGCCAGUGAUUCAGGAUUUUGGAGCACCUCCUAUUUGCAGUAUUGAGUUGGUCUAGAAAAUCCCGAGGAUGACCAAAGAACUUAAGGUGUCAGGAAAGUACGCAAGGAAACUGAAAGUGGAGAAGAGGGAGCUCAUCCAUUCACAUGCCAUUAGUAGUGAUGGAUGUUUUAAAAACACCACCAGGAGUUGGGACUCACAGAAACACCAUUGCAGCACUGUCCAACCCAGCCAGCAAUGAGAUCCCACGAAUGGCUAAGCAUCGGAUGUAUGAACACGAAAUGUGCCAGUAACACAAAAAAUGUUAUUCACAGUUGGAAGUAGCAGUAGAGAUGUAGAAGACCUGCAUCCUGGAAAUCUAUGUGAACUGAGGAACAAACAUGGUAUGAGCAAAACAAAGACACAGGCAGCAGCUUGGGACGUGCAAUGUGGCUCCUGUUGUCAGGUCUGAAAAGAGAAGUCACCUUCUUCAUCUUUCCAGUGUUUGUUAUCCCUAUUGAAAAUUACUUAUUAUUAGCCCUGAGUAGAAAUUCUCUCCAUCUCCCACAAUAUCCAAGGAAAGUGAGUCAACAGCGGUAGCUGUGCAGUGAACAAAAAGCAGUGCCUCUCAGAUAGGGGUGACUCCAUCCAGAAAAGGAAG